rnacentral:lncRNA from 1 species
GGCCGUUAGUUUUCUAGUUUCACUUUGAAUUGUUUUAUUUGUCACUUCGGGGCCUUUGACAGUUGACUAUACUGUAUUGACUUUGCUCAUUGUUAAAGGCCGUGCAGUGACCUAUAGUGGUUGAUUUCUAUGUCAUGUUGGGCUCUUGUGGAGAGUUGUCUCAUGUGCAAUCAUACCACAUCUUCUAUUUUUUUUCUCUUUU